UGCAGUCGAACGAACCUUCGGGUUAGUGGCGGACGGGUGAGUAACGCGUGAGAAUCUGCCCUCAGGAGGGGGAUAACGGUUGGAAACGACCGCUAAUACCCCAUAUGCCUAUUGGUGAAAUGAAUUUCGCCUGAGGAUGAGCUCGCGUCUGAUUAGCUUGUUGGUGAGGUAAUGGCUCACCAAGGCUUCGAUCAGUAGCUGGUCUGAGAGGAUGAUCAGCCACACUGGGACUGAGACACGGCCCAGACUCCUACGGGAGGCAGCAGUGGGGAAUUUUCCGCAAUGGGCGAAAGCCUGACGGAGCAACGCCGCGUGAGGGACGAAGGCCUCUGGGCUGUAAACCUCUUUUCUCAAGGAAGAAGAUAUGACGGUACUUGAGGAAUAAGCCACGGCUAAUUCCGUGCCAGCAGCCGCGGUAAUACGGGAGUGGCAAGCGUUAUCCGGAAUUAUUGGGCGUAAAGCGUCCGCAGGCGGCUUUUCAAGUCUGCUGUUAAAGCGUGGAGCUUAACUCCAUCAUGGCAGUGGAAACUGAAAGGCUUGAGUAUGGUAGGGGCAGAGGGAAUUCCCGGUGUAGCGGUGAAAUGCGUAGAUAUCGGGAAGAACACCAGUGGCGAAGGCGCUCUGCUGGGCCAUUACUGACGCUCAUGGACGAAAGCCAGGGGAGCGAAAGGGAUUAGAUACCCCUGUAGUCCUGGCCGUAAACGAUGAACACUAGGUGUCGGGGGAAUCGACCCCUUCGGUGUCGUAGCUAACGCGUUAAGUGUCC
rnacentral:rRNA from 1 species